rnacentral:rRNA from 1 species
CGGAGGUGCAAGCGUUAAUCGGAAUUACUGGCGUAAGCGCACGCAGGCGGUCUGUUAAGUCAGAUGUGAAAUCCCCGGGCUUAACCUGGGAACUGCAUUUGAAACUGGCAGGCUUGAGUCUUGUAGAGGGGUAGAAUUCCAGGUGUAGCGGUGAAAUGCGUAGAGAUCUGGAGGAAUACCGGUGGCGAAGGCGGCCCCUGGACAAAGACUGACGCUCAGGUGCGAAAGCGUGGGAGCAAACAGGAUU